rnacentral:rRNA from 1 species
GACGAACGCUGGCGGCGUGCUUAACACAUGCAAGUCGAACGGAAAGGCCCCUUUGGGGGUACUCGAGUGGCGCACGGGUGCGUAACACGUGAGUAACCUGCCCUUGACUUCGGGAUAACUUCAGGAAACUGGGGCUAAUACCGGAUAGGAAUCCUUGCUGCAUGGUGGGGGUUGGAAAGCUUCGGCGGUUUUGGAUGGACUCGCGGCUUAUCAGCUUGUUGGUGGGGUAGUGGCUUACCAAGGCUUUGACGGGUAGCCGGCCUGAGAGGGCGACCGGCCACAUUGGGACUGAGAUACGGCCCAGACUCCUACGGGAGGCAGCAGUGGGGAAUAUUGCACAAUGGGCGGAAGCCUGAUGCAGCAACGCCGCGUGCGGGAUGACGGUCUUCGGGUUGUAAACCGCUUUCAGCAGGGGCGAAGCUUGUGGUGACGGUACCUGCAGAAGAAGCACCGGCUAACUACGUG